GCAGUCUAAAGCUCAAGAACUGCCCCUCCAGGCUGUCAUCUUCUUCUAGAAAUGAGGGAACUGAGGCCUAGAGGGAGGACUUUGGCCAAGAGCAGAGGGCCAAUUAGGACACAGCCACUUCCCCCCUCACCCAUAUGGGCUCAGCUAUUUAUUUUGCAAAUAACACAGGAGGGAUUUUAAUAAGCUUUUUCUUAGAGGCAAUUGUUACGUGUUUAUAUAUUUUCCAUGUGUUAAUAAGCUAUUUAGAUCAGCAGCGUCGCUGGGGCCCAAACCAAGGAGUUCAUGGGUUGUAUGUAACGUGUAGGCGCGGGGAUGGGGUCCCUCCUUUCGGUUUGGCCCCAAAGUCCAGGCAGCCAGGUCGGGGUUCCUGCAGCUGCCCCCAGGUCCCCAGCACCUUGUCGCCCUGUCUGUCCCCCGUUGUUCUCUCUGGAUCUGCAGCACCAUCCCCUCUGUACGUGGAUGUUUUGGUCCGUGAGCCCUCCCUCGAUUUGCGGGCCAAGUGAGAAUGGACGUGGCGGGAUUAGUUUCGCCCACUGGCCUUCUCUGCCUUCCUGAGAAGACCUGCCUCCCCUUCCGGCUCUCACAGUGGGCCCGGCAUGUUUCCAAUAUUGCAUCAGUAUUUUCCCCAACGGAGUAACGCUUUAAUGGGGCAGAUUUGUUCUCUGUACGGGAAACAUGUGGGCCCUUGUCAGACGCCGCCGUGGGAGCGAGUUGCCCUCCACCACAGCCAUCUGGUCACCUCUUGGGGCUCCUGUCCCUGAGCUCAGAAGGGCAGUUUCCUAGAUCCGGUGGUGUGAGGAGGAUGAGGGGCCCUCCAAGACUUUGGGGGGUGCGGAAGGAGAGCGGAGUUGCAACGGCGCCGGUGACUCCCAGUUCCUCUCCAGCUCCGCGCCCAGAGCCUCGGGAUGAGCCCUGGUCUCUCCGCCGCGCCUCCACUUUGCGCAGCCUAUCGCGCCCGCCUUGCGGAGAGAGCGGCCUGGCGCGUGAGUUGGGGGAAGAAGGGAUUCUCGGGGCGAUCGAGAGCUGCAUGUGGAUGUGGGUAGGUGACGGCACCCAGCGUCGCCCCCGCACCGCCAUGCCACCGGGAGCCUUGCUCCGGGUGCCCGAGUUCCGCCCCGCGCGCCCUCGCCAGCCCUUAGAGAUUGGCACGUUGGCACAGGAGUCCCUUCCCAAAAUAGGAAUAAGAGAGACUGAAACAGAUAAAAGCAUUCAAAGUUUAAUGCAACAUCAAAUCUCUAUAAAACCAGAUCAAAGGGAACAGGCGCUUGGUCUUUUCCCUGGAACUCCGGCGGCCUCAGGGCUCAGGGGGCCCCCGGGGAUCGAGCCCGCGGCCGCCCGGCGCGUCCUACUCUCCAGCCGGGGCCGAGGAGUCCACACCGCAGCCCGGGGCCUGAGUGGUGCGGGACUCAAUCGAGCGGAACCGGCGCGGCGCUCGUGAACUUGGGGCCUGUGGAUUUGACAGCAGUCGGCAGGUUGUCCGCUGCGCUGCCCGGCUCUCCAGCAGCUGAGCUGGAG
ensembl:lncRNA